rnacentral:snRNA from 1 species
GUAUUUAUAUGGCAGGAGAGAUAACAUAAUUAUGAAAGUGAUUUUCCCAAGGUGAGGCUUGCCCAUUUCACUCCAGGUGUGCUGACCCCUGCAUGUAUCCUUAGAAAGCAAUGGCCACUGAACAAUCUUUUGUUGAUGACUUUUGUUGUCAGU